rnacentral:rRNA from 1 species
CCUACGGGAGGCAGCAGUGGGGAAUAUUGCGCAAUGGGCGAAAGCCUGACGCAGCGACGCCGCGUGAGGGAUGAAGGUCUUCGGAUCGUAAACCUCUGUCAGCAGGGAAGAACGGUCACUGUGCUAAUCAGCAGUGAAUUGACGGUACCUGCAAAGGAAGCACCGGCUAACUCCGUGCCAGCAGCCGCGGUAAUACGGAGGGUGCGAGCGUUAAUCGGAAUUACUGGGCGUAAAGCGCUCGUAGGCGGUAUGUCAAGUCAAGGGUGAAAUCCCCGGGCUCAACGUGGGAACUGCCUUUGAAACUGGCAAACUGGAGUGUGUGAGAGGAUAGUGGAAUUCCAGGUGUAGGAGUGAAAUGCGUAGAUAUCUGGAGGAACAUCAGUGGCGAAGGCGACUAUCUGGCACAUAACUGACGCUGAGGAGCGAAAGCGUGGGUAGCAAACAGGAUUAGAUACCCGAGUAGUC